rnacentral:lncRNA from 1 species
UCCCAGAUCCGAGCUUGAUGACGACUCCGGUCACCGGUAGCGGCACAUCGAGGCAUAGCUUGAAGGACCUCGGCGCCUCCAUGGCUACUCCAGAUUGCAACGGGGGAGAGAGAGAUAUUCAGACAAGUUGUAAGAAGCAGGAGGAAGGAAAUGGACGAUGGGGAGGGAGACGACCUGCUGGGCACCGGUGAUGCGGGGGGUCCGGCGAAGACGCGGCCUAGCCGCCGGCUACGGGUCCAAUGGCCGGGUCUGACGCUGCGAGCUACGUUCGUUCCCUGACAGAGAAGGGGAAAAAACUAGGAGAGAGAGAGAGAUUAGAGGAGGAAGGAGAUGGGAAGGAGCAGGAGGAAGAGAGCACGGGACGGCGGGGUACUGGCCUGGGUGUGGUGCUGCUCCGGCGGCAUCGGUCGCCGGUGCGGCUGCCGACGAGGCUGGCCUCGAGAGCUUGCUGCCCCCGUUCUAGAUCGGAAGCGUCGGCUGGGGUUGGGACUACUGCAAGACAGAGAGAGAUGAGACGACGAAAAGAGAAGAAUCAGGGAAGUGAGGCGGAGAGAGGAGCAGGGGCACCGGCGCGGAUGCAGGGAGCUACUGGUCGCGGACGCUGGCAUCUGCCGGCUCUGGACGCGUCCAACAUACAAAGUAGAAGGUGGCUCGGGGCAAGCUUCUUGCUGGUUGGGCAGGGGAACGAGAUCCUGAGGAAACAGGAGGAGUGGCGGCGGCGGUGAUGGGACAAGAUCCCUAGGAAUUAGGGCUGAACCUCUUUUUAUAUAAAGCUAUUGAAUUGGGCUAGAGUCUAUCAGGACCCUCCGAUGCAGAUCAGACGAUCGAAAAUAACUAGGUUAGGGAGUCCAAUGGACAAACCGAUGAUGGUUUGCGGUAUUACGGGGUUGAACCGGAUCCAACGGUCACAACCGUGUGUUUCGGGCACCGGGAGGUUUCGGACUGGGCUGCGCGUAGGGACGAAGCACUGUGCACAUGGGCUACGCGGAGAUGAGAGGGAAAACGGCACCCGACAACGUAAUUCUCACGACACCGAGAAACGUCCGACGAUAGACCGAAUAUGGUGCCGCUACGGUCGACCGUUCGGGUACCAGACGGACUCCGAUCGCGACGAAAUUCGACAGGCGGCCUAGCUAUAUUAAAAUAACACCACACGUCAAAUCUCACCCCAAUCAGAGAAAGUUUUAUGCACACUUUUAAAACAAGGUUUGACAAUGCCGCGGGCGCGUGCGUGUGUGAACGGGCUCAGAACGAACAAUGACGAGAACCGGCAACUAACAACGGAUGCAAUUUUUGAAAACUGGCGGCAACGGGGUGCCGAUGCAAUGUUGAUGAUGCGCAUGAUGCGAUGAUGAUGCGACAAAAUAAAAUAGACACACAACGAAAAUGGAAAGGAAACUGGAAUCUUCUGGAACGUCGGCAUCGGGCUGUCACAACUCUCCUACACUACAAGAGGAUCUCGCCCCGAGAUCCAAGAAUGAAAGGAGGAGAGGAUGAGAAAGAAGAAGAGGUAAAAACUUAGUCGCUUCUUUGACAAACGAGUGAAACGAACGAUCCUUGAAGGUUGCAAAGAGAUGAGGAAUGAUAUGAGAAAGAAGCAAGAAUUCACAGAAAAUUUCGGCAGCACUUCGGUAGGAAAAUGGGACAAAAAAUUCGAAAAGAUAGGAGAAUUAGAUAAUAUUCAUAACAAACAAGUAAAUAGAGCAAGGGAACACCAUGAUCUUGAUAGAACAAGAUUCUAGACCCAAAAGAGCAAUAUCACAAUGCCUCCGGAACAAUAGAAUAGGAACUAGCUCAUACGGAGUAAGAGAAUGAAAAAAAGAAUGACAACUACUAUCUCAAAUUAACUUGGCAAGAAAAAUUGAACAUAGUUGUUGUUAAAACAACAACGAGAAGAACAAGAUAGAAGUGGGCUUAUGGAAACCUUUUCAAACUAAUGAAGUGACAACCAGCCACUAACAGAAACAAGGAUCGUUUUGGGAAACAAGAUAAGCAAAACUUCUUACACCAAGAGGAUACAUUGAGAACUUGGAUUAAUGACAAGUACCAUGAUAGCAACAAUCCAUAGGAAAAGCUUUAGGUGAAAUCCAAACCAAGAUAGCUCAAUGAAGAAAUCAUGGGUUGAAAAUAUCUCAUGAUCAUAGAAUUGGUGGUUUUAAUUAUCUCAUACUUGCGAGGAAAACUCUUCGAGGCUCCUACACUAACAAGAAUGCUAUAAUACCACCUCAAGGAAUAAAGGAGAACAAUUGCACAUAGAAAUGCAAGAUAAAAGAUACUUGAGGUGCUCCAACAAGAAUCUUGAAGAACACUUUAGAAUGAAUAACACCUUGAAGAACGACCAUGACGAGCCCCCGUAACAAAAGGAUGAUGCAAAGAUAAGAAGGAUGAAAGAAUAAGAUUGAAGCCUUGCAAAGACUUCGAUUAAGCUUCACGAAGAGAUACUUGAGAGAACUUGGAACUCCGGAAAAGAAAGAUAAGAAAACUUGAUAAAAGAAUUGAUAUCGUGAGCCACUCCAGAAGAAGAAUUCAGAUUACUAUGAACAAGAAUAAGAAUUACGUUAUGCUUAUCCUUCAUCAAGUUAAACUGAUGACAAGCAACGGAUUUAGCAAACCACUUAAUCUUCUUCAAAUGAUUGAGGAAAGAUAUGAGCACAAACUAUAAGAAUUGUUGCAAGAAACACCGGCGAGAAUUGAAAUGAACGAGGCAACCAUGAAUGACUGGAGAUACAAGAGAAUGAAGAGAUCAUGAGCCACCUGAGAGAAAACAAGAAGAAGGCACCGGAAUAAUUGAGAGACAAACGAAGAGACAACAAUUGAGAAGAAUUGAGGACGAAAGCUGAAAGCUGAGAACGAAGAAUCUUCUGAAAUGAUGGCCUUCGGAGGAACGAGAAAUAAAAACAACUCAGAAAAGCACCGGAUAGCAAGAAAUGAAUCACUCAUGAAAGAAACAAUUGAGAGGAUAUCACGAAGCUGAGAUGACAAUCUUCACAAGAAUGGAGCAAGAUUUGAGAGAAACACUCCUUCAGAUUUGCAAGCCAAGAAUGAUGACAAGAAACAACACCAAGAAUACCGAGACACUCCGGAAUAAUGAAGAAUGCAAGGUUGAGCCCAAUAUGAGAAUUGAUUGAAAUAGAUCUUGACGAAGGGAUAUGACUGAUGAAAUUCAUACUUACGUCAUAGUUGAAAAGAAUUAAAGAUCUCCGGAAGAUUACAAGAGCUAUAACAGAUCCUGGGAAAAACCUGUGGGUUAUGGGCCCACUCAAAGAAACCACCAUUAGAAAAGAUUGCUAGAUCGAGAGAUAUUGCACCGGUAUGAAGAGAGCUAGAUGAGGUUAGCACCUCGAAAUAAUUAAAAGAAUUGAAAACGAGAAACUACUGAAAUAUCUUCAACGCUCCGGAUGAAAAGAGAGGAAUGAAAAACAAGAUAGGCUCAUAAGAAUUUAACAUAGGAAAGAAUUACAAGGAUGAAAAGGAUGUGAUGAAUCACGGACAACUGAAUUAAAAUCACCGGAAAAGAUGACAAGAAUGAAUAAAGAUGAACAUGAAUCUCCUGAGAAUGUUCACCAUGAAUCACCGGUUACGAAAGGAAGAAGAGAUAGCGGAAGCAUCACUGAAAUGAAAUGCAGUUGGAUGAAAUCCAAUCACUGAAGAAAAAGGGCGGGAGGGCGGGAAAAACAAAGACAACUUGGGACAGAUAAGAUGAACUCCGGAAUAAAUGAGAGUACGAUCUUGCAAAAUUCGGAAAUGAUAGAAUUCACUUGGAGAGAAACACACCGGUUGAAAAGAAUUAACAUGACGACUCCGGUUGACAAGAAUUGAUAUGACAAUUGAUUGAGCAAAGAAUUAGCAUUCACAAAAAAAAUAUGAGAACACAGAUUAGGAAAGAUCUGAAAUCAUCACUUGACAUCGAAGCAACACGAAUUACCACAUUCAACAAAACAAAGGGUGCAUCUUGCAAUUAGCCAGAACAAACUCAUGAGAAAGGUUUCGUCCGAUAUUUUCGUGGACAGGAAUCCACUAGAUGUCGAACCCCAACCUAACAUCAUGCAUUUGUUGGAAGAUUGUCCUGUAAGCAACUACUUGAAGUCCCACCUAAGAAUUCCCGAAAUUUCUGGUCAUGCAAUCUGGUACACGGAUACAAGGAGUAAUAAUCACACAACUCCUAUCCUAACCCGUCACCUGUAUCACAUCCGUCAACACACGGCCAAAAUCUCGGACCUUCAUCUACAACAGACCCUCGUGAUCACAAUGAUAUGAAGCAUGGCAGUACCCCUGAACAAUCUGCACCAGUACUGGGGACAUCGGGGUUAUCUCGCCACUACUAGUAUUGAAGCAAUUACGAACAUCCUUCGUUCUGAGAUACUAAGAAAUCUGAAUGAUAACGAUGUGCUCAAGAAUCCCCUGGAGCUCAACUCCCCUGAAACUUAAAUCAUAUAGGAGGCACCAAGACAGAACUCCUUCACAUCGCCAUCAUAUAGAUCGCAAGAAUAUCCGCGUGAUCCUAAAAAAAAUGAGUGAGAAGAGGAGGAGAAUUAAAUUAUUAUGUCAAGAUUCCUCACCAGAGCAUAGAAGAGGAGAAAAAAGAAUCCUACUCUCCGGUAUAUAACUAGACUCAAAGCAGUUUUUCACUAGACUCGACUCGGCCAAGUUCGAUCAAUCAAGGGGGCUCCUAGGUCGGUACAGCUCUGAUACCAACUUGUCACGGCCAAGAUGCGACCCUAUCCUCGAUUUGGCACGAAGGCCUCGUCAGGGAUAGAAGCGCAUCUCGUCGUGUCGCAAGAAUGAAUAUCGUUACAAGUACAUGUACGGAAAAGAUGAGAUAUAUAAUAGAAUUGGCUUACACUCGCCACAAGCUACAUCAGAGUCACAUCAGUACAUUACAUAAUCAUCAAGAGUAAUAGCAGGGUCCGACUAAGGAUGAAAACAAACGACUAAAGAAGAACGACGUCCAUCUUUGCUAUCCCAGGCUGCCGGCCUGGAACCCAUCCUAGAUCGAUGAAGAAGAAGAAGAAGCAACUCCAAAUGAACAAUCAACGCGCUCGCGUCAAAUAACCUUACAUGUACCUGCAACGGGUGUUGUAGUAAUCUGUGAGCCACAGGGGACUUAGCAAUCUCAUUUCCAAANNNNNNNNNNNNNNNNNNNNNNNNNNNNNNNNNNNNNNNNNNNNNNNNNNNNNUAUUUAACAUGUGGUAGGCAAUGAGACAUAAUCGAUAGCAUCGAAAUAACUAGCAUUGCAAUGAUAGUAAUGGUAUCUGGGGAAAUGGUCAUCUUGCCUGAGAUCACGCUUGGAAGAAGAACGACUCCGUGAAGCAGACGAACCGAUGUAGUCGAACGGGUCCUCACUUUCCGACACGCUUGCGGAACUCUAUCGAGACGAAGGAAACCGGAAACAAGAAUCAACAAACGAUAUACACCACACGAUGCAAGACACACAUGAUGCAUGAACGGUCUAAUGCAAGGCAUGACAAUCACAACAAUCAAACACUACACAUUAAGUGAAGCUUGGUAUGCAACGGGUUGCAUAUCGACGAAACUCCAUAUUUAAUUAUUAGUUCACUCCCGUUUAUUUACACGACAAUAUUAAAAUGUUGUUAACAUGGCACGGGGUGAAGCACAAAUUAAACUACCUAUCUAGGCAUUUUAAAUGACGCCGAAAACGACAUAUAGCAUCUCCGAAAUGACCCCACGUGUUAAAUUCUAAUUCUGUCCAGAUUUGUCCUAAUCACAUUUUAAGUUUGUUAAACAGAAAAACAAAGUGGUUCACAUGAUUCUACUCGUCGUUCUGCACCAUUUACAUAUAUGUCACAUCUCCAACGGAGCUACGGACAAAUAGUUACGAUCUAAACCGUUUCAACACAUCGACACGCAAACCGAUCCAAACAGCACACCAAAUAGUUCGAAUUAUGCAUGAGAGUUCGAAAAUAUUAAUCUACGCCAAAUUCUUGUCAAGUUACAUAUUUGAAUCUUUCCGAUCCGAUGCACGGUUGAAACGUUAUGGACGUUUUAAAACAGUGGCAUUUACUCUAAAAAUGCAAACACAUAUGUUGCAACAAAAGUGCAGAAACACACUAAUAUGUUGGGCUCGCUGCAUUAAAAAAAUGUGAAGCGAGGGAUUCGAACCAUAGUCUAUGGAGUAGAAAUGUGUGACGCUGGCCACUAGGCUAGACCUGUGAUCGUGGCUAAGUUGCAGGUGUGGGCUAGGUGUAGCGCUACGUGAAGCACAACCUUCAGCUAAUCUGACCCAAAAAAAUUAACGAAACUAGGCAUGGCGCGGCUGGGAUUCGAACCACAGACCUCAUGGUCCAGGCGCGGAUCGGCUACCAGCUAGGCUAGCAACAAGCUUGUGAGAUAAAACAACACCGAGGCUAUCUAUUAGUAAUCCUUCGGACGUUUUACAGGAAACCCAAAAAAAUACAGGAACAACCUGCAUAGACAGCACGAUGCGGGGCUUCAGUUCGUCAGGAACGAGCUGGUGGCAGCACGGGCGACUAGAGGGGCGGCUCUGACGGGGCUCUUCGCCGGCGGGCCGGGUAGAUCCGGUCGAGGGGGUCCCAGAUCCGAGCUUGAUGACGACUCCGAUCGCCGGUAGCGGCACAUCGAGGUACAACUUGAAGGACCUCGGUGCCUCCAUGGCUGCUCCAGAUUGCAACGGGGGAGAGAGAGAUAUUCAGACAAGUUGUAAGGAGCAGGAGGAAGGAAAUGGAAGAUGGGGAGGGAGGACGACCUUCUGGGCACCGGUGACGCGGGGGGUCCGGCGAAGACGCGGCCUAGCCGCCGGCUACGGGUCCAAUGGCCGGCUCUGACGCUGCGAGCUCCGUUCGUUCCCUGACAGAGAAGGGAAAAAAACCAGGAGAGAGAGAGAGAGA